ACUUAUGUUUCUUUUCCAGUGUUCAUUUGAAGGUGGUAUUGCGGGAGAAUCUGGAUCCGAGGCUCAUGGUGGUUAUGUUUCUCUGCCUUUAUUCAUUUUAUCUUGUUGGAUAUUGUGUUCUCCAGCUUUCAUUGGUGGGAUGAUAAAAGAUAUGAUUGUUCAAUCUCUAUAUAAAUUGAAGGUUCACAAUAUCAUGGAAGUAUACCUUUUGUGGUUUGGCUACUUUGAUUCUGAUCAAUGAGGUUCACCGAUUGGACUUGCGGAGUUUACUUGACUGGGUGGUGUUUCGUCAAGCUGGUUUAGAGUGUGGAUUUCAGGGAAGAACAAAUAAGUUGGUUGAUGGAUGCUAUUCGUUUUGGCAGGGAGGCGUUUGCUCACUAUUAAAAAGAUUAAGUUUGGAUAUUAAUGAACAACUAAUUCAACCUUAUG